UGGGGAAUCUUAGACAAUGGGGGAAACCCUGAUCUAGCCAUGCCGCGUGAUCGAUGAAGGCCUUAGGGUUGUAAAGAUCUUUCAGGUGGGAAGAUAAUGACUGUACCACCAGAAGAAGCCCCGGCUAACUCCGUGCCAGCAGCCGCGGUAAUACGGAGGGGGCUAGCGUUAUUCGGAAUUACUGGGCGUAAAGCGCACGUAGGCGGACUGAAAAGUCAGAGGUGAAAUCCCAGGGCUCAACCUUGGAACUGCCUUUGAAACUCUCAGUCUUGAGGUCGAGAGAGGUGAGUGGAAUUCCGAGUGUAGAGGUGAAAUUCGUAGAUAUUCGGAGGAACACCAGUGGCGAAGGCGGCUCACUGGCUCGAUACUGACGCUGAGGUGCGAAAGCGUGGGGAGCAAA
rnacentral:rRNA from 1 species